GAUGACGCUGGCGGCGUGCCUAACACAUGCAAGUCGAGCGCGAUUAGUUGGAACGGCGACUUCGGUCAAAGGGAAGACUAUGAAAGCGGCGGACGGGUGAGUAACGCGUGAGCAACCUGCCCUGUACAGGGGGAUAGCCACUGGAAACGGUGAUUAAUACCCCAUAACCCCAUUGGAUCGCAUGGUCUGAUGGGCAAAGCCUUGGCGGUACAGGAUGGGCUCGCGUCUGAUUAGCUAGUUGGUGAGGUAAYGGCUCACCAAGACUUCGAUCAGUAGCCGACCUGAGAGGGUGAACGGCCACACUGGAACUGAGACACGGUCCAGACUCCUACGGGAGGCAGCAGUGGGGAAUAUUGCACAAUGGGCGCAAGCCUGAUGCAGCAACGCCGCGUGAGUGAAGAAGGCCUUCGGGUCGUAAAACUCUGUCCUAAGGGAAGAAGAAGUGACGGUACCUUAGGAGGAAGCCCCGGCUAACUACGUGCCAGCAGCCGCGGUAAUACGUAGGGGGCAAGCGUUAUCCGGAAUCACUGGGCGUAAAGGGUGCGUAGGCGGCUGAUCAAGCCAGGGGUGGAAGGCUGUGGCUUAACCAUGGUAAGCCUUUGGAACUGGUCAGCUUGAGUGCAGGAGAGGAAAGCGGAAUUCCUAGUGUAGCGGUGAAAUGCGUAGAUAUUAGGAGGAACACCCGUGGCGAAGGCGGCCUUCUGGACUGUAACUGACGCUGAGGCACGAAAGCGUGGGGAGCAAACAGGAUUAGAUACCCUGGUAGUCCACGCUGUAAACGAUGAAUACUAGGUGUCGGGGGUCAAAGCCCGGUGCCGCAGCUAACGCAUUAAGUA
rnacentral:rRNA from 1 species